ensembl:rRNA 5S_rRNA 5S ribosomal RNA
UAUAAUUGCUCGAUACCACCUUAGGCACGCCCGAUCUCGUCUGAUCUCGGAAGCUAAGCAGGGUCGGGCCUGGUUAGUACUUGGAUGGGUGACCGCCUGGGAAUACCAGGUGCUGUAAACA